GACCCCUUAGCUCAGUGGUAGAGCGUGUGAUUCCAGCUUUGGUUUGAUAUCUGGGUGCAAUCUUAGCGAAAUGUCCUACGAAACCAAUGCCACUCCACAAGGUCAAGCGUUCAACUCGCUUAGGGGUCA